GAUGAAGAACGCAGUGAAAUGCGAUAAGUAGUGUGAAUUGCAGAAUUCAGUGAAUCAUCGAAUCUUUGAACGCACAUUGCGCCCGCUGGAACUCCGGCGGGCACGCCUGUCCGAGCGUCAUUUCAACCCUCAGGCCCCCCUUCGCGGGCGGGCCUGGUGUUGGGGCCCGGCCGCUACCCUGCGGCCGUCCCCUAAAUUCAGUGGCGGCCUCGCCGUGAUCCCUUGCGUAGUAAUGCACCUCGCACCGGAGAGCGCCGUGGCCACGCCGUAAAACCCCCAAUUUUCAAUGGUUGACCUCGGAUCAGGUGGGAAUACCCGCUGAACUUAAGCAUAUCAAUAAGCGGAGGA
rnacentral:misc_RNA from 1 species